CAUAAAAAUACAGAAAACGAGGAGACUAAAGAAAUGAGAAGCAAACAUCAGAAGAAAAUUGCUCAGAAAAAUGCCACAAUUAGAGAUCUAGAGGAAGAGAACCUAUUUUUAGCAAAUGAAAUUGAAAGCCUUCUGGAGAAAAACAAAUACUUGAAGGAGAAACUUCUCCAAAGUGAAGGAAGCCCUGUCUGGUAGGAAGAAGGCCAUCAAAGUGAGAUGGCUGGAAAAACACCAAGGAAAACACAGGUUUUCAGCAUAAUCUAUUCGAUUUCUCAAGUUUUGAAUGCUCUCCUGGAAUGCUGGGUCGGAGAAGAUUAGUGCUAUCUUCCACUAUCAGCUAGAUUUCUCUCAGCUUUGUUUAAAACCUGUAUGAAAGCUUGAAAAAGUUCUUGGAAUAAAGUUACUUUUCCAAUCA